GACCCAGUAGCGGACGGUUCUGCGCCCGCGCCGUAUAUAGAUGAAAUGAAUUUAUGUUUGUCCAGCGACAGUCCUGGUUCGACUCCAGGCUGGGUCA